rnacentral:tRNA from 1 species
GGCAGUGUGGUGUAGCGGUUAGCAUGCUUGUCCGGUAAUUGAGAGUCCUGGAGCUCGAAUCUCAGCGCCGCCG